AGUCGAGGUUCCGGGGUGAUGGUACUCUGUCACUGGCUGUCAUCUAAAACAGGUUUCCCGUCAAGGUGGUUUCAAUCAUCAAGGUUAGGUAUCUCGAAGAAGAUAAAGUUGACAAGUAGAGAACGUGUUAUUGAAUAUACUCUAUAACCUCUGCCGUGUUAUUGCCAGAGCAGUGCCAACGCCCAUUCAUAUCAGAAAUCACCAAGACAUUGAAGCGAAGAAUCAAUAGUUUUUCCAGACAAACGUCAUGUUGAUUUAGCUGGUAUCGUCGUACGAUGACAACUGCUCGUCAACCAGUAUCGAUGAAAAGAAGCUCAGAGUUGUCACAGUCGUGUAUGUCAGCACGCAAACAUUGGUUCACCUUGCUGCUGGUGGGGGUGUUCAUGUAAGCUGUCUUCAUCAUAAUAAGACUCUAGAAUCUUUGGAUCACGACCGACAUGCGCGUAGAUGCUGAUUCAUCGCGUCAGAGGAGACACCUCAAAUGUUACUUGUCGCACAAGUUCUCCAUUACGGGUUGUGGCGAGUUAAGCAAAGAUACAUGAUUGACACUAGCAUCCAACUUACACCGACGUCGCAACCGGAUUCCUUGCCAUCUGUUAUCGGAAUGAUCAGAUUAGGUGGAAGAUGUCAAGGCUCUAAAAUCCGGUGCAUUUUUAGCGAUAAUCAUCGGGAUCUGUUUAUUAUCCAUUUCAGACCUACCGAUAUCAUCAUCGUCCACUGCCAGGCAAAGCAUUUCAAUCAGGAACAACGGUUCACAAUCCUCGUGAAAUGUCCUCUUUCUAUGAGACUAAAACCGGAAAGCUGAUGACCCUACAACAGUCCCACUUCUUUCUCUGGUAUCCUCAGGUGAAGUUACGUCGCAAAGUAUAGCUGACUGGUCUACGAGUGGAGGUCUCAUGCCAAAUUUCAAGAGGAUCACAGAUCAAAGACAAAUCACAGAUCUCUGGUCAAGUUAUAUGACAGCUCGACAGUUCAGGACCCUUCGCUCACUUCCGUGAAGCGGGAGCAGCAGCAGCGACCCCAUCCUCAAAGAAUGGUCUCCAGUUCAACAGCAGCUGCCGAUAAAGGUCCUGGAAUCACGAACUUACUCGCCCGUUUAGUGCGUCGAUUCGCCAAUUAUUAGUUUGGCCGUUUGCAUCGCAUCGGACAACAUGACUGCAAUGAACCGAAACUAGGAUCGUCCGUGUGUUGCCGGAGUGACAAAAGAUAUUUACUUGUUGAGGAUCGUGAAUCAAAUCAUUCGAUCGGCUGAAGAAUAUCUUGGUUCUCUCGAAUGACCCGGCGUAACAACUCACAGAUAUCGCCAGGAUCAACUCGCUUAUUCAAUCCCGCCAUUUAGGGAUCCAGCGAAGACAAAUUUUACUCCCCAGCUGAAUUUUUCAAUGUCGUACCAAAUGAGAUCGUUGUCCACCAUUCAACAUCAGAUGUCACUGCUCCAGUCGAUCUGCUGGACAGUAUUCCGACUUGAUUCAUUUCUCUUUGUGAUUGUUUGAAAUUGCCGUGAACUUGUUUGUUAUUUUUGUUUGUUUUUUGUUCUGCUCUUCGUCUUUUUUUGAAGCGCCUAGAGUAGCGUAUCUGAGAAAUCGUCAGACAGUUGGCGUAUUGGCCGAGUCGAAGCCGCUGUAGAAAGUUAGAUUGGCGGUGAUCGUGCGUCCAAGGCCAGUAUUGUGAUGGUAAGUCAGAUAACGCUGCCGCAAUUGUUUAUAUCGAAGUUUAUCUUUUCUUUUAAAUGCGACGAUGCAUUAACGUAAGUAGUUGUGUGAGUAAGAGUUAAUUGGGGAAGUAUUAGGUUAGUACCUGCAUGGUUAUAUAUAAUAAGAACAGACAUGGGAAACAGUGGGAGACAGUAUGGAGGGAGUAGAUAACGGACCUGGGGACUUUCUCAGUUCUUAUAAAUAAUAGCUAUUAUCCACAGCUAUUAAACAAAGGUCUUACAUCGGGUUUGAUCAUCAGAUCCUUAAGGUUUGGUUGGGAAUUUUGUGGAAUGUUUCAAUUUCGGGUACAUCAUCAGUAGGUUAUUGGUUACAUCUUCAAAUUGUUAAGAUGGAAUUUUGUGUUCGAAUCUUGUUGAAGAAAGUUCAGGGAAGGUUUAGGUCCUGUUUAAGAGAGUAGGAAGCAGAACUGUAGAGCAUUCUGUGACACCGUUCAUAUAAAUAUGUUAAGUUCCACCGAGUCAUGACGUGAUAUUGACACCCAUGAACAUGAUUGCAUUUAUUGUUUAAA
rnacentral:lncRNA from 1 species